ACGGGUACGUAGACAACGACUCUUCUUCGUCGUUGGUGUCAUUAACGACUCGUCCUCCAUCUUAGGAUCAAUCAAGAGAUAUGUAGAUUUAGAUGAUGAGUUGUUAAUGUAAAUAGGAAUAAGAUCAUGUCGCUUAACGACGAGGAUACUAUCAUAGCAAUAAAGAUUGAUGUGAUAGAGGAGGGGGAUGGUUUCGCAUGGCCAUUGCCAGUUGUGCCAAGCUAUGAUUGGGCAUCCCGCGAGGUGGGGAAGUUUGUGUCCAACUUCAACACGGGUGGGGAAUUUGGGUGGUUCACUAAGCAUAUCCCACUCUUGAAGGCUGUAGAUAACGCUCGUUUCUUCAAACUUAUAGUUUGCAAGAAAAAUGAUCGGAUGUACCAUGGGAAAAUGAUCGCUUCACAUGAUUUCUUCUUCAAGUAUUCCAGCUUGUUAAAGGACCUGCUUGUCCACCCAACUUUCAACGAGUUCCAAAUAAGUGUGUUGAGGGAACUCAACGUAGCUCGUACUCCACUACACUCGAAUGGGUGGAGCUUUGUGCAGGCCUUUAAGGUAUUGUGUUCAACGCUAGACCUCACUCCAACUCCUCUCAUAUUUCUUCAUUACUUUUGUACCCGCCCGAAUGCCAAGAAGAGCUAGAUGUCUCUUAUCUCCAUUAAGUGGAAGUGGUUGUUCAUUGUGUUCAACGCCUCCUUUAUGGGAUUAAAACCGGGUACCUUAAGGUGGGGAUAACAAAUGUCCGUCGGGUUCAGUUUUACGAAAAGGUCGAUCGACCAAAAUUUCCUUCCUAUUGGACAUAGAACCCUAGGAAAGUGACCUUUUGGCACAAAACAAUAAUAAUAUCCGAAGAGCUGGAAGCAGUUAAAAUAAUCAACAAACUACACCAUUGCCUCCCUUCCCGAAGUCUCAUCAACCUUCUUAGGUCUAAAAUCCUCAACAAUGAGGUGUUUGGUACGAUUUUAUUUGCUUGCAUGUAUCGACUGAUCAUGGUUAACUUCACUAAAUUCUUCAUUUCUUUUCAAUAAUCAUGUCUUCCUGAAAUCCAAAGGAGGACCUUUUCACGAAGAUCAUCGUUCGGCUUGUGGCUGGUGGUGAAGACACCAUGGGUGUUUGAUCAAGUAUCACACAUUUUUGCCACCUGCGAAUCCUCUCGAUAUCGUGUUGAUAUGACUACACAGCGAGCGGUCCCGACUUUUACUUCAUUGAGAGUCAUGGCGUCGUUUGGUCUUCAAGGAGUGUUGAGAGCGAAUUCUCCUGUCGGGGCUUGUUCUAUGCAAAGGGCUCUUAUCCACCCACUUGGUCUUAACAUAUUUGUGAAGAAGACCUGAACGCAUCAACUCUUCGAUCUUGUCACGGAGAGUCGUACACUCCUCUAUUGUAUGCCUUAUAUUCUGGUAAUCCCAACAAUGUUUAUUGUCAUUAAUAUUUGUGGGGUUGACUUCUUUUUUGUGGAAGGAGGUAAGCAAAGAGCGCCUCCUCUAGAAUCUUUACUUUAGGCGCAUUGAGAGGGGUCUACUGAUGGAAACGUGGUCCUCAAGGGAGGUCCUUUACCCAUGACCCGCCCCCUUUUUGUUACCAUCGCUAGGCUUUUUUCCCUCUUUUUUCUCACUAAUUGCAACCUCCUAUUGGUUCUUGUGGAACUCUCACAUGUCUUUAACUCUCACAUAUUACACAUCCUUCUUCCUCAGUUCGUCCAUCGUCUUGGUUGGCCGCAUACACAAGCUAUCAGUAAAUGGCCAUGGUCUUAAGGUCAUCAACACAUGUUGUAAUACAAACUCGUAACUAAGGUCCAUGAUUUUUCGAGAGGUCCUUUCAUAACUAUCCAUUAAGAUCCUCAUCUUUCUCUUGCUUGAGGUUUAUCAACACAAGGGUUGUUAGGCAUUACAAAUUGUUUGCCGAAGAGCAAGUAAACAGUUGCAAAGCUAUCAACCGAGUUAUGUGGCAAGGAAUUGAACCAUGCUAAGGCUUCUCCUUUGAGGGAGAGGGAGAAGGCUCUACACCACACCAGAUCACUUACAAUGUAGAAGGCAAUAUGUUUCACAAACAUCCUUAAAUGUUCGUCGAGGUCAGUUGAACCAUCAUACUUUUCAAAGGUGGGCGGGAUCCACCGAUCGGGCAUGGGUGUCUUCAUGAUGGUUGGGGUGAAAGGUAACAAGUCAGCCAUGUUGACCGUAUAUGAACAGAGGGGUCGCCCUUGCCUGCUCUCGUGCUGCCUUCUUGUGCGGUUUUGCAUGCACAAAUAAAGAUUUGAAUGCUCCUGCAGAAGGUACUCCAAUGUCAAAAUCAAUAAAGAUUCGAAUGCUCAAAUAUUAAUGGUGUAUUAAAUGCAAUCAUCUAACUUCUUACUUCUUACUUAUAUUUAUAGAUUUCAGAAUAGACUUUUGAUUAACAAUGACUUAAUUAUGAUUCAAUUGGUAAUAAUCAAUAUUUAUCUUAAGUUACUCAUAAUUAAAAAUUAAAAUUAAUCUUUUGUGGACUAACCAUUCGAUCUGUUUCUUACCGUGUGUCAGAACCCUUAAAAACCUUGUGUGAGUGGAAGCCAGGUGUUAGUGAAAAUCAGAAAAUGGAAGACAGGUGUGAGCGGUUGAGUGGCCGAUCGGUUUUGACGGUAGUUUAUAAGUUAAAGUUUUCAAAAUUCGUGCCACUUUUCUGCAUGCACCAUUCUCUCCCAAAUAUUCUGAGUUCUUCAUUGCUCCUACUUCUCUCUACAAUCUUCUUCUUCUCUCUAUAAAAUCUUACCCUUUUCUUCUUCCAAUCUUCAAUCAAACCACGUCGGAGUCUUCCUGGUGCUAAGAGCUUCACUUUGCACCGAUCAAGUUGCUGGUUUAAGUUGUUUCAUAAAUCGUGACCGUAGGAGACAAAGAAUUCUGGUGGUGAAUUAUCUUAUACAAAUUGUGAGCGUUCGGCUAAGCUUAAGAGAAGGAGAGGAGUUGCUGGAAGAGGCUCUUGAAGAAGUGGAGGUUAAGGCCGAACCAUAGAAUCGUUCGGUAGUUAUAGUUAUUUCGUUUUGUAUAUCCGUUCGGUUUAAGGUUGUUUUGUUGAAACCGUUCGGUCAAGUAUUUAGCUUUGUAAAGUUUAAUUUCUGUGGUAUUUUGUAAGGUUGUUCGAUCAUAAGCGUAUCCUUGCUCUCUAAACUGAACUAUAAUAUUAUUAAUAUGUGAGUAUUC